GGCGGGGCGCGCGCUGCAUUGUCUGCUCCACAGCCGCGGGGCGCCUCAGAACCCGGGAUGUGCUUGGAGCUGGAGGCCUCUCCACCGGAUUGUAAGACGCUGGAAGAAAGGAGGCAGAGUCUCCAGCUCGGGGACUAGGUAGAAGCUUCACACAUUUGUUGGACAGGAAAUUGCCUUUGGUGUCUGUGGCUCCGUCUGGCCGAGGAUGGAGUUUUGGACCAGGCAAAGAGAAGAAUCUGGCUGCCCAGGUUGGGCCACUUUGGAGGCUCUGGACUCUGCUGAGGGAUGCCGAGAGGCAGAGAACUCAGGUGCCCUGUUCACCCUGCAGCAGCCACCGUCACCCCUAAGGUCUCUGCAGUAAGGAGCCCCUCUCUGCAGCUCUAGGGCCUCGGAUGGUUGGAAUGUUUGGAAUUCUCUGUGUCAAUGGUGCAAGUCUUCCAAGAGGAAUAAAACGUCUAUGUAAUUAUAUCAGAAUUUCACAGAGCACUCCCAGAUCCACCAUGGUCAGCAAGUCCUGUUGAGUGUACAGCACAGGGUCUGACAAGAACCCUAAUGCCAGCUCCCUUCUUCUCUCCCCUGGCAGGCGGGGAUGAUGUGUGAGCACCUGGAAAUACUGCAUUGUGGGAAAAAGAUGGGGCCAGAGGCUGGGAGACAUUCAGUCUGUUGGUUGUAUCAACGCUGUGAAGUAGAUGAGUAAUAUUGUCACCACUUUUCAGUUGGAGAAGCUGAGACUCAGAAAAGUUUAUCAACAAAAGUUACACAGAUAAUAAAUGUUAGUGCCUUUGACCUUCCCUGAACAGCAAGCUUUAGAAAAGGGAAGCUUUUCUAAAGCUGAGGGAAGAGGACAUGGGAGCCCCAUCCCAAAUCUGCCCACCAGCUGGCCCUUCUCUCCCUGCUGAGCCACACUGCUCUCACACUUUGGGGACUGUCAUCUAAAGUACUUUUGCUCACAUACUAACACUAUCACAAAACAAUACUUGCCCUUAUACAGUGAUGCACUACAUGCUGCUGAGACCCACGAAGUUGGUUUUGUAACCCAUUGUGGAUUGUGACCCUCAACUGGAAAAGUGCUGCUUGGAGCGUUCCUGGUGUUUGGCAGCUUUCAACAAGAGCCAUCCAACUCCAGGGAUUGCUUUUGCCCCGUCUUUUCAGCACCUUGUCACACAUGAGUGCCCAACGUAAGACCAGGACCUAGCAGAGUCUUCAAGUCUCCAAAGAGCUGACUUGGAGCACAGGUCAAGACCCAAAUGCCUACAGGGACAGGAAAAAAUGAGAGAAGCCAGCCAGAUGGACCCACAGGGAGGGCACACGUUCAGUUCCUGGGGCCAUUGCUGUAUGCCAGGGUGACAGCAAGUUGCCAUUUUUCAAGAGAAGCCAAAAGUCUAAGUUUUUAUACAAGCCCUCUGAAUUUUUAAAUGUUCAAUUGAAUUUUUGAAAAACAGUGGGUGGGCCAACCAAACGUGCUGGUGGUCAGACAGUUCUGGGUGGGGCCGCCUCCCUUGCGAAGCUAGUGGGAUGAUGAGUUUGCUGACUUGCAGAAAGAACACUGGUUACCCAAGAAGCUCUAGCUGAAGCACCCACAGCAAGUGCUGGAGGGAUGGAGGUGAGCACCUGCCCGUCUUCCCCCACCCCCAAGGGUCGAGUUCGGGCUUCUGGAAGAACUCUCUCGUCAGCGAAGUUUGGAGCCCACAUCCAGGACAUGCCGUGGCAGGAGCACAGUGUCACAGGUGGCUUACCCCAAAUGCACCAUUGAUGAGGAA